rnacentral:rRNA from 1 species
AUUGAACGCUGGCGGCAUGCCUUACACAUGCAAGUCGAACGGUAACAGGUCUUCGGAUGCUGACGAGUGGCGAACGGGUGAGUAAUACAUCGGAACGUGCCUAGUAGUGGGGGAUAACUACUCGAAAGAGUGGCUAAUACCGCAUGAGAUCUACGGAUGAAAGCAGGGGAUCGCAAGACCUUGUGCUACUAGAGCGGCCGAUGGCAGAUUAGGUAGUUGGUGGGAUACAAGCUUACCAAGCCGACGAUCUGUAGCUGGUCUGAGAGGACGAUCAGCCACACUGGGACUGAGACACGGCCCAGACUCCUACGGGAGGCAGCAGUGGGGAAUUUUGGACAAUGGGCGAAAGCCUGAUCCAGCAAUGCCGCGUGCAGGAUGAAGGCCUUCGGGUUGUAAACUGCUUUUGUACGGAACGAAAAGCUCUGGGUUAAUACCCUGGGGUCAUGACGGUACCGUAAGAAUAAGCACCGGCUAACUACGUGCCAGCAGCAGCCGCCGUAA